rnacentral:rRNA from 1 species
UACGUAGGGUGCAAGCGUUGUCCGGAAUUAUUGGGCGUAAAGAGCUCGUAGGCGGUUUGUUGCGUCGGCUGUGAAAUCCCGAGGCUCAACCUCGGGUCUGCAGUCGAUACGAGCAAACUAGAGUGUUGCAGGGGAGACUGGAAUUCCUGAUGUAGCGGUGAAAUGCGCAGAUAUCAGGAGGAACACCGGUGGCGAAGGCGGUUCUCUGGGCAUUACCUGACGCUGAGGAGCGAAAGUGUGGGGAGCGAACAGG